AUUGAACGCUGGCGGCAGGCCUAACACAUGCAAGUCGAACGGUAACAGGAAGAAGCUUGCUUCUUUGCUGACGAGUGGCGGACGGGUGAGUAAUGUCUGGGAAACUGCCUGAUGGAGGGGGUUAACUACUGGAAACGGUAGCUAAUACCGCAUAACGUCGCAAGACCAAAGAGGGGGACCUUCGGGCCUCUUGCCAUCGGAUGUGCCCAGAUGGGAUUAGCUAGUAGGUGGGGUAACGGCUCACCUAGGCGACGAUCCCUAGCUGGUCUGAGAGGAUGACCAGCCACACUGGAACUGAGACACGGUCCAGACUCCUACGGGAGGCAGCAGUGGGGAAUAUUGCACAAUGGGCGCAAGCCUGAUGCAGCCAUGCCGCGUGUAUGAAGAAGGCCUUCGGGUUGUAAAGUACUUUCAGCGGGGAGGAAGGGAGUAAAGUUAAUACCUUUGCUCAUUGACGUUACCCGCAGAAGAAGCACCGGCUAACUCCGUG
rnacentral:rRNA from 1 species